CCCUCUCCCCGCCCCCGCCCUCUGCUUUUCGUACCAUUAAGCGCAGUAUUAUUGGGGAGAGGAAAAUCUGAUCAAAACUGUCGACCGCCAACGGCAGAUUUUCUAUGGAUUCUAUAAAGGCCACCUUAACGAUUUCCCUAAUUAAUGGAUGACAUCUUUGGCUGAAGGAGAGGCGAUGGAUUCGACUCUGUCUUCGUCUUUGUUAACCUUCUAAUUAACUUUCUAAAACGUAUACCUGUUGGAAUUUUAGUGUUGAUGGAUUUGCCAGACUGUGCCAGAUAAAGUUGUAGCUGCUACUCCAGUUUCUUGGCAUCUCUGACCAAGCGAAGGAGACACUGAAGGAAGACCAGGUCACCUGCCUGUACUCCCCCCAGCUGGACGGCCCCGACCCUCACCUGGACCCUCUCCCCGCGGCUGCCGGGCCCCCUGCAAGGGUCCGAGCUCCCACCUGGAGGUCAGGUGCGACCAGGAGGGCGCGCCUCGGGUCGGCACCAGGGACAGCGCAGGCCCCCGCAGCCAC
rnacentral:lncRNA from 1 species